GACGAACGCUGGCGGCGCGCCUAACACAUGCAAGUCGAACGAGCGAGAGAGAGCUUGCUUUCUCGAGCGAGUGGCGAACGGGUGAGUAACGCGUGAGGAACCUGCCUCAAAGAGGGGGACAACAGUUGGAAACGACUGCUAAUACCGCAUAAGCCCACGGCUCGGCAUCGAGCAGAGGGAAAAGGAGCAAUCCGCUUUGAGAUGGCCUCGCGUCCGAUUAGCUAGUUGGUGAGGUAACGGCCCACCAAGGCAACGAUCGGUAGCCGGACUGAGAGGUUGAACGGCCACAUUGGGACUGAGACACGGCCCAGACUCCUACGGGAGGCAGCAGUGGGGAAUAUUGCACAAUGGGGGAAACCCUGAUGCAGCGACGCCGCGUGGAGGAAGAAGGUCUUCGGAUUGUAAACUCCUGUUGUUGGGGAAGAUAAUGACGGUACCCAACAAGGAAGUGACGG
rnacentral:rRNA from 1 species